UACAGAGGUCUCAAGCGUUGUUCGGAAUCACUGGGCGUAAAGGGUGUGUAGGCUGCGUGUUAAGUCAGAUGUGAAAUCCCGGGGCUCAACCUCGGAACUGCAUCCGAUACUGGCAUGCUAGAGAAUUGGAGAGGAGUCUAGAAUUCACGGUGUAGCAGUGAAAUGCGUAGAUACCAGGAGGAACACCAAUGGCGAAGGCAGGCUACUGGACAGAAGGUGACGCUGAGGCGCGAAAGUGUGGGGAGCGAACCGG
rnacentral:rRNA from 1 species